rnacentral:rRNA from 1 species
CGGAUUACAGCCUGNAACCCGGCUGUAUGAAGCUGGAAUCGCUAGUAAUCGCAAAUCAGAAUGUUGCGGUGAAUACGUUCCCGGGUCUUGUACACACCGCCCGUCACACCAUGGGAGUCGGGAAUGCCCGAAGUCAGUGACCCAACCAUAUGGAGGGAGCUGCCGAAGGCAGGUCUGAUAACUGGGGUGAAGUCGUAACAAGGUAAC